AACGAACGCUGGCGGCAUGCCUAACACAUGCAAGUCGAACGAGACCUUCGGGUCUAGUGGCGCACGGGUGCGUAACGCGUGGGAACCUGCCCUUAGGUUCGGAAUAACUCCCCGAAAGGUGUGCUAAUACCGGAUAAUGUCUUCGGACCAAAGAUUUAUCGCCUUUGGAUGGGCCCUCGUUGGAUUAGCUAGUUGGUAGGGUAAAAGCCUACCAAGGCGACGAUCCAUAGCUGGUCUGAGAGGAUGAUAAUCCACACUGGGACUGAGACACGGCCCAGACUCCUACGGGAGGCAGCAGUGGGGAAUAUUGGACAAUGGGCGAAAGCCUGAUCCAGCAAUGCCGCGUGAGUGAUGAAGGCCUUAGGGUUGUAAAGCUCUUUUACCCGGGAUGAUAAUGACAGUACCGGGAGAAUAAGCUCCGGCUAACUCCGUG
rnacentral:rRNA from 1 species